rnacentral:piRNA from 1 species
UUAGAAAUGGUUUUGGUUUAUUAGACCAA